UUAGUACUCCCUUUGUCCGGAAAUACUUGUCAUCAAAAUGAAUAAAAAGAAAUGUAUCUAGAUGUAUUUUAGUCCUAGAUACACCUCUUUUUGUUUAUUUUAGUUCUAGAUACACCUCUUUUUGUCUAUUUUGAUGACAAGUUUUUUUGGACGGAGGGAGUAUUAU
rfam:Triticum aestivum genome assembly, contig: Triticum_aestivum_CS42_TGACv1_scaffold_001070_1AL